GCCAGGUUCAGUUCCCACACGGUGGAUCAUACCCGUCUGUAACUCUCAGCCUACGGAUCCUAGGGCUUGUGUGACCUCUGAGGGCACCCGGCACACACGAAAGAGAAAUGAAAUGGCCACCCCUGUGCAGAGUGUGAAGAGCAUGUGCUGUUCCCUGGUCUCCUGGGCUUCAGACCUGCGAUGCCACCUGCUCUGUGAGGCAGAGCUGAGACUGUGAGCUGUGCUCGCUAAGCAACCUGGGAUUGCUCAGACAGCCCUGCUGAGGCCUUUCUCUUUGGAGGAAGAGUCCACUAAAUCUCACACUGAAAUGGUCUUCGUGAUGCUGGCUUCAGCGAGCCCCAGCCUGCUUGGAGACUGUGGUGCUGGGGACUUCAAGAGCCUUACCAGACUCACUAGAUGCAAAUCCUCGUGUCUACCCAGACUCACUGACUAGGGGAGUCCUGUAGGAGACAUCAAAACUUGACAGAUGCUAAGAGCUAUUAACGCCUUCCUUGGAAUGAGGAGCAGAAGAAGGUGUGGUGAUUGCAGAAACCCUCCUUAGGAGAAGCCAAAAGCCGGUCUCCUGACUUGCAGAUCAUUCCUCACCAACUUUCAAGUGGUCAAGGGUUGGGAGUGUCAUUCGGGGAUAGAGCACGGACCUGGUGCUGGAGGCUGUUGGGAAAAAGAAAUCUAGAACAGAAGAAAAACUAAAACCCCGGGAGGUUUAGUGAUGGAGCCAAAGGGGUCACACGACCACCAGGAAUUUGUUCUGUGUUUUGAAUGCGGUAAAGAUUUUAUACGCAACGUCUGGUUUAUUUGGUACACGUCUUUGUUUUUACACAGGCUCUCUGUGUAGCCCUGGCUAGCCUGAAACUAUGUAGAUCAGGCUCCCCACGUGCUGGGAUUAAAGGUGUGCCCCACUGUGCCUGGCACAAUAUCUUUUAAUUCUCUCGACCUCUUUGGGGAUUUGUUUGUUUGUUUGUUUUUUACUAUUACCACCAAAUUAAUUAUGAGAAAGGCAACCACACUAACCACGGAGAAAAAUUAAGUUACAGUUUGCCCAGAUGAACUCUGAUAGUGACUGGCAAAGUCAGAUGAAGCAGGUUGAGAGCUGAAGUUAGCCCUCUUCCAAAGGACAUUAGGUCUUGGUGUUCUCUCUGUGUCUAUUUCUCUGUCGCGCGCGUGUGUGUGCGUGUGUGCGUGUGUGUGUGUGUGUGUGUGUGUGUGUGUGUGUGUGUGUGUGAUUUUGACUAGAUUUAUAGUACAGAUAGGUUUCAUCCUGAGGAAUGGGCUUUGGAGCCAAUGCAAAAGUGGCUGGAUAGCUCGUUCUCCCAUGGCCCCCCUGGCACUCUUGUCCCAGAGGGCACAUUGUGUCUGAUAGAUUGCUGUUGUAGUGUGCGGGUUUCACCACCGGUACGAUCCUCCGCGGCUUCUCUCCCACAGAGGCCUGCAUUCCCCACUACAGCACAGCGCAGACCGGGCAGCAUGGGCGGAGCUUUCAGGUCAGCUUCCAGGUCGAUUUCUCCAUCCUGCCACUAAACUGUCUUCCAUGUUAGGGUCCUACCGCCCAGCUCCGGGGGGCAGCCAAGAGCAGUGCCCGAUCACCGUUUUAUGGGAAGGGAUCCAAACUCAGACCCCCAUACUUACACAGGAAGCACAGUUACCCACCCCCCCGAGCCCACUCACAGCAGCACCACGCAGAGGUCCCGGGACUGACCCUGAGAACCCACACAUUACAAAAGAGUUGCACCACUGAGCGCUACUCUUAGCCUUGGACGUUCUACGUGUUCAGUUGGCAAAGAGCAUCUGGCGCUUGGUUUCCAUCAUUAUCCAAGCAAGGCUGGGCUUCAUUUCCUGUGUCUCACUAUAUAGUCCCGGCUGGCAUGGAACUUGCUCCACAGAUCAGUGUGCUGGCUGGUUCUGUGUGUCAACUUGACACAAGCUGGAGUUAUUACA
rnacentral:sRNA from 1 species